AGAGUUUGAUCAUGGCUCAGAACGAACGCUGGCGGCGUGGAUAAGACAUGCAAGUCGAACGCUUGUUUUCCGGUAGCAAUAUUGGGAAGCAGGAGUGGCGCAAGGGUGCGUAACACGUGGAUCAUCUGCCUGGAAGUCUGGAAUAAUUCGGCGAAAGCCGGACUAAUGCCGGAUGUGGUUGGAAGACUAAAGCUGGGGACCGCAAGGCCUGGCGCUUCCAGAUGAGUCCGCGGCCUAUCAGCUAGUUGGCGGGGUAAUGGCCCACCAAGGCUAAGACGGGUAGCUGGUCUGAGAGGACGACCAGCCUCACUGGAACUGAGACACGGUCCAGACACCUACGGGUGGCAGCAGUCGAGAAUUUUUCUCAAUGGGGGAAACCCUGAAGGAGCGACGCCGCGUGGGGGAUGAAGGGCUUCGGCCCGUAAACCCCUGUCAUUUGCGAACAAAUGUCAUGGUUGAACAAGCCAUGGCUUGAUUGUAGCGAAAGAGGAAGGGACGGCUAACUCUGUGCCAGCAGCCGCGGUAAUACAGAGGUCCCAAGCGUUGUUCGGAUUCACUGGGCGUAAAGGGUGCGCAGGUGGGUUGGCAAGUUCGAUGUGAAAGCCCCGGGCUUAACCCGGGAAUGGCAUUGAAUACUGCUGAUCUGGAGGAUUGGAGGGGGGACUGGAAUUCUUGGUGUAGCAGUGAAAUGCGUAGAUAUCAAGAGGAACACCAGUGGCGAAGGCGAGUCCCUGGACAAUACCUGACACUGAGGCACGAAAGCCAAGGGAGCAAACAGGAUUAGAUACCCUAGUAGUCC
rnacentral:rRNA from 1 species